AGUAAUCCCUAGAUAUACUGAGCGGCGAACGGGUGAGUAAUACGUGGAUAACUUGCCUUUAGGACUGGGAUAACCCCGGGAAACUGGGACUAAUACUGGAUAGGACCACGGUGUCCGAGGACACAGGGGUAAAAGGUGGCUAGGUAACUAGCUAUCACCUAUAGAAAGGUUCACGUCCCAUCAGGCAGUUGGUGAGGUAACGGCUCACCAAACCUAAGACGGGUAGCCGGCCUUAGCGGGUGAACGGCCACACGGGGACUGAGACACGGCCCCGACUCCUACGGGAGGCAGCAGUGGGGAAUAUUGGGCAAUGGGCGAAAGCCUGACCCAGCGACGCCGCGUUGGGGAAGAAGGCCCUCGGGUUGUAAACCCAUGUCAGGAGGAACGAUGGGUCUGUGGGCUAAUACCUCACAGACUUGACGGUACCUCCAGAGGAAGCCCCGGCUAACUCCGUGCCAGCAGCCGCGGUAAUACGGAGGGGGCAAGCGUUGCUCGGAAUUACUGGGCGUAAAGGGUCCGUAGGUGGCUUGGUAAGUUAGAUGUGAAAGCUUAAGGCUCAACCUUAAAAUUGCAUCUAAAACUGCUGAGCUAGAGUACAGGAGAAGUUGGCGGAAUUCCCGGUGUAGCGGUGAAAUGCGUAGAUAUCGGGAGGAACACCAGUGGCGAAGGCGGCUAACUAGCCUGUUACUGACAUUGAGGG
rnacentral:rRNA from 1 species